rnacentral:lncRNA from 1 species
UCGACUUGUUGCAUGACCAUAAUUUCCAUAUUUGUUGUGUUGUAUAAGUAGUACUAACGUGUAGUUUUAAUGAAUGAAGAUUAGGAAAGGGGCUGAGCUGUCAAACUGACACGCGACUUCGUUCUUGAUGCAGGGCUCUUGGCUGGUUAAACAUGCAUCUUUCUAUUUCCUUGUGAUAUGUUAGUUUAAUAUGGCGAGUAAUAAAUAAUUAUUGCUGCUUUUGUUGCUAUGUACCAGUUGUAAACAAUCAGGAUUUUGAGUUUCAGUAUCUUUUGAAGAAAAUUGUUGCUUUCCUGUUAUGUCCUGCUAACAUUUGAGAGAUUUCGAUAGAUGCAAAUCUUUUUAAUUUAGCUCCUAUGCAUACUGCUCUAUUUUUUUUUCAUUCUGGCUGAAGUUCUAUUUAUCACCUGGUGAAAUGCUAUCUUGGUGCAAUCUGUGAUGUUAUGGGGU